CGGAGGGUGCGAGCGUUGUCCGGAAUCACUGGGCGUAAAGGGCGCGUAGGCGGUGGGGUAAGCGUGUGGUGAAAGUCCGGGGCUCAACCCCGGAUCGGCCGUGCGAACUGCCCCACUUGAGCACUGUAGAGGCAGGUGGAAUUCCGGGUGUAGCGGUGGAAUGCGUAGAGAUCCGGAAGAACACCGGUGGCGAAGGCGGCCUGCUGGGCAGUGGCUGACGCUGAGGCGCGACAGCGUGGGAGCAAACAGGAUUAGAUACCCUGGUAGUCCACGCCGUAAACGAUGGGCACUAGGUGCUUGGGGGAGCGACCCUCCGAGUGCCGGCGCUAACGCAUUAAGUGCCCCGCCUGGGGAGUACGACCGCAAGGUUG
rnacentral:rRNA from 1 species